UACGGGGGAGCAAGCGUUGUUCGGAUUUACUGGGCGUAAAGGGCGCGUAGGCGGCCAGCACAAGUCAGUUGUGAAAUCUCCGAGCUUAACUCGGAACGGUCAACUGAUACUGUGCGGCUAGAGGUGCAGAAGGGGGCAACUGGGAAUUCUUGGAUGUAGCGGUGAAAUGCGUAGAUAUCAAAGAGGGAACACCCUGCGGCGAAGG
rnacentral:rRNA from 1 species